CAGCAGCCGCGGUAAUACGUAGGUGGCGAGCGUUAUCCGGACUUACUGGGCGUAAAGGGUGUGUAGGUGGCUGCCAUAGUCGGGCGUGAAAUCCCGGGGCUUAACCUCGGGUUUGCGUUCGAUACUUGGUGGCUGGAGUGCGGGAGAGGGAAGUGGAAUUCCCGGUGUAGCGGUGAAAUCCGUAGAUAUCGGCAGGAACGCCGGUGGGGAAGCCGGUCUCCUGGGCCGCGCCCGACGCUGAGGCCCGAAAGCUAGGGGAGCAAACCGGAUUAGAUACCCGGGUAGUCCUAGCCGUAAACGAUGCCCACUAGGUGUGGGGGAGUAUUUCCUCCGUGCUGUAGCUAACGCGUUAAGUGGGCCGCCUGGGGAGUACGCCCGCAAGGGUGAAACUUAAAGGAAUUGGCGGG
rnacentral:rRNA from 1 species